UCAAAAACAUGUCUUUUUGAGAAUAAUUUAAAGUCUAGUCUGCCCACUGAUAAAAUUAUUAAAGGGCUGCAGUAUAUUGACUGUACAAAGGUAGCAUAAUCAUUAGUCUUUUAAUUGAAGACUUGUAUGAAAGAUUUGAUGAAAUAUAUACUGUCUCUAAUUUAUAAAUAAAAAUUAAUUUUUUAGUUAAAAAGCUAAAAUAAUAUUAAAAGACGAGAAGACCCUAUAAAGUUUUAUAAUUUAUUUAUUUAAUAUUAAUUAUAUAAUUAAAUAUAAUAAUUAAUUUAAAUUAUUUUAUUGGGGUGAUAAAAAAAUUUAAUUAACUUUUUUUUAAAAAUAAACAUAAAUAAAUGUAACAAUGAUCCAUUAUUAAUGAUUAAAAGAAAAAAUUACUUUAGGGAUAACAGCGUAAUAUUUUUUUUUAGUACGAAUAAAAAAAAAAGUUUGCGACCUCGAUGUUGGAUUAAGAUAAAAUUUAAGUGCAAAAGUUUAAAAUUUUGAUCUGUUCGAUCAUUAAAAUCUUACAUGAUCUGAGCU
rnacentral:rRNA from 1 species